rnacentral:rRNA from 1 species
UACGUAGGGCGCAAGCGUUGUCCGGAAUUAUUGGGCGUAAAGAGCUCGUAGGCGGCCUGUUGCGUCCGCUGUGAAAUCCCGGGGCUCAACCCCGGGCGUGCAGUGGAUACGGGCUGGCUGGAGGCAGGCAGGGGAGAACGGAAUUCCUGGUGUAGCGGUGAAAUGCGCAGAUAUCAGGAGGAACACCGGUGGCGAAGGCGGUUCUCUGGGCCUGUACUGACGCUGAGGAGCGAAAGCGUGGGGAGCGAACGGG